rnacentral:lncRNA from 1 species
UUUGAGUUCUAGGGUUUGGAUAUUUAUUUUAUUUAGCUGGAUUUUAGCUAAUUUUUGAAAUUUGAGAUUGAAUUAGCUAAUUCUAGGCUUGUUCCAACAUUAAUUUGAUUUUGAAUUACCUAAAUUUCGGUUAGUCUUGACACUUAUUUCUCCAUUUUACUCAUUAAUUGUUUCGUAGCUUUGGGGGGAAAUCUUAUUCCUAUUCCUUUACUAAAUUAUUGUAAUUAUUUAAGUGAAAGAGUAUUCUUUGUAAUAAUUUUACUAUUUGAUAUAUUACGAAUUCGAUAAAAGGAUUGUUUUGCUAUUUUUUUCGGUGACCGCUUAUCUCUUUUACUUUAAUUUACGCCAAGCAUAGGUAAGUUGAUUUGUCUCUAUUUUUUUUAUAAUUAAGUCUUGUCUUGUUAUUGUAUAUAUUGAAGUCUAGUGAAGCCGUGUGUGGCCUUGUUCGAUUCACUAGCAUUGUUGUUGACAUCUUGUCGGUCUUGUUGUUGCUUUUUGGAUGACAUAGUCAUUUGAAAAUGGUUAAAUGUAGGAACAUUAAAGGGGAUUUUUUGUUUUGAAUGUGGUUGGGUUGGUGACUUAGUUGCUUGAAAAUGGUUAAGCGUAGGAACUUUAAAGGAAUUUUUUUUGUUUUGAAUGUGAUUUGGUUGGUGACUUAGUUGCUUGAAAAUGGUUAAGUCUAGGAACAUUAAAGGGGAUUUUUUGUUUUGAAUAUGAGUUGGUUGGUCACUUAGCUGCCUGAAAAUGGUUAAGUGUAGGAACUUUAAAGGGAAUAUUUUUGUUUUGAAUGUGGUUUGGUUGGUGACUUAGUUCCUUGAAAAUAGUUAAGUGUAGGAACUUUAAAGGGAAUUAUUUUAUUUUGAAUGUGGUUUGGUUGGUGACUUAGUUACUUGAAAAUGGUUAAGUGUAGCAACUUUAAAGGGAUUUUUUUAUUUUGAAUGUGGUUUAGUUGGUGACUUAGUUGCUUGAAAAUGGUUAAGUGUAGCAACUUUAAAAGAAUUUUUUUUGUUAUGAAUGUGGUUUGGUUGGUAACUUAGUUGCUUGAAAAUGGUUAAAUCUAGGAACUUUAAAGGAGAUUUUUUGUUUUGAAUGUGGUUUGGUUGGUGACUUAGUUGCUUGGAAAUAGUUACGUGUAGGAACUUUAAACGGGGUUGGUGACUUAGUUGCUUGAUAAUGGUUAAGUGUAGGAACUUUAAAGAAAUUUUUUUGUUUUGAAUGUGGUUUGGUGGUGACUUAGUUGCUUGAAAAUGAUUAAGUGUAGUAACUUUAAAGGGAAUUUUUUUGUUUUGAAUGUGGUUAGGUUGGUGACUUAGUUGUUCGAAAAUGGUUAAGUGUAGGAACUUUAAAGGAAAUUUUUUUCUUUUGAAUGUGGUUUGUUAGGUGACUUAGUUGCUUGAAAAUGGUUAAGUGUAGGAACUUCAAAGGGAAUUUUUUUACUUUGAAUGUGGUUUGGUUGGUGACUUAGUUGCUUGAAAAUUGUUAAGUGUGGGAACUUUAAUGAGAAUUUUUUUGUUUUGAAUGUAGUUUGGUCGGUGACUUAGUUGCUUGAAAAUGGUUAAAUGUAGCAACUUUAAAGAGAAUUUUUUAUUUUGAAUGUGGUUUGGUUGGUGACUUAGUUGCUUGAAAAUGGUUAAGUCUAGGAACUUUAAAGAGAUUUUUUUAUUUUGAAUGUGGUUUGGUAGGUAACUUUGUUGCUUGAAAAUGAUUAAGUGUAGGAACUUUAAAGGAAAUUUUUUUGUUUCGAAUGUGGUUUGGUUGGUGACUUAGUUGUUUGAAAAUGGUUAAGUGUAGGAACUUUAAAGGAAAUUUUUUGUUUUGAAUGCAGUUUGGUAGGUGACUUAGUUGCUUGAAAAUGGUUAAGUGUAGGAACUUUAAAGGAAAUUUUUUUGUUUUGAAUGUGGUUUGGUUGGUGACUUAGUUUCUUGAAAAUGGUUAAAUUUUUGUGACUUGAUCUAAUUAGUUGAAUCUGAUUGAUUGCGUAGAUGAAAUCUGAUUAUAGCUGGAUAUAUCAAUGGAACAAUGAUAAUAUAAUUGGUAUUAGGGAGGAAUUUGUUGAGGGUAUCAAAAGAUUUGUUGAACAUGCUAAGACACUUGAUAUGUGGACACGUUAUCGGGUUAUUCGUUGUCCUUGUGUUAGAUGUGAUGAGAUAAAUCUUAUAAGAGAAGAAGAUCUAAAUGAACAUCUUUAUAGAAAGGGGUUUCACGAGGACUUUUAAGAUCGCGUGGCAUUCAUGGCGAUGUUGCGCAAAAUAACUUUGUUGUUGGAGAAAGUAGUAGGCCUGCAUGACAUAAUAAAUAUCAAGAUACUAGGAUGACAAAAAUGGUGCACGAUGCUUUUG